rnacentral:lncRNA from 1 species
GUUGGAUUAUAGUUAUUGACAAAUUUGAUGGAAUGCCACGAUAUUGCAAGUAUGACAAGAUACCUGGAAAGACCUACCCAUAUAUUUUGUAUGGAACAAAUCAUCACAUGAAUAAAUUUGGUAUGUCAGACGAUAUUAUUAUUAAUAAAAUACUAAAUAAGUUCUGACUUACAUUUCAGAUUCAUUAAUGUUAAUUUGUUUUUUUCCUGGACAUACAUGACAUAUUUGCAACUGAAAAUUUAUGAACCAACAAUGAAUCAAUCUUUAAUUGUCCACAUUUUGAACAGAGCAAACCCGGUAUUAGGUGUACUCUUAUAAUAAAUUGCCCUGCACGUUGUAUACUUAAAUUUGAUUGUAACAAUCCUUAUACUUAUAAUUGUCAAUUUUGUGUGUACCUCUCACAAAUUCAAUGGUACUUUGAUAAUAGAAAAAAUAUUGAGUUACUAACAAAAACCACUUCAAUUUUAUUUGUCUUAAUAACAUGUUUUUAUUGUAGAACAUGUAGAAGCUGGAGUUGCUGACAUGAUGGUUAUAUCUGUUUCAACAUUGGCUUGAAAUGAAACAGUGUAUUAAAAAACUGAACGUACCGAAAUAAAAAAAAAAGAAAAAAAAAGAAGAAAUGAAAAUUGAAUUCGUCUUAACCUCAAACAAUUACUGGCACAUAUUUUAUUUCUAAUACACACUUCAUCCUUUGCUGCUGAUCUAUAUUAAGUUUUCUAAAAUAAGAAAACUAGUCCGUCGACUUCAAAACUGGAACAUAUAUCACUGACAGAGACGUUCAAGAGAAAACCAGUCUCAUCAUAUAAUCAUUGUUAUAAUGCAGUAGCCUGACUUCGAUAGCUCAAGAAUCAAGAAUACUUUAUUAUUAAGAAGACAACAAAUAAUACAAAAUGUGAACUGAAAACAUCCAACCG